GAAGGAAGGAAGAAAAAAGGAAACCAAGAUUUUUUUGCUUGGGAAUAUUUCCCCAAAUGAGUGGUUUUGCUCCCUUUUCAGAGUUUUUUCACCAAAUAUCUAUAGCAUAUACAGAUAAGCUGUGUGUGUGUGUGUGUGUGUGUGUGUGUGUGUGUGUGUGUGUGUGUGUGUGUGUUUGGAGAAAGAUCCUGCCUUGGGAAAAAUGGAGUAGACAUAAUUUUCUCUAUUCCUCCCAUUCAGUACAACUUAAAACCCUGAGCAUUAUAUGUAAACCAAACAUAAGAAGACUCUCAAAGGUGUAGAAAAGAAGGCAGACUGGCUAGGGACCACAAGACCCAAGAAACAACAUGGUAAUGAGUCCCAUGGGUUUCCUUUUUGCCUCACAUAUCUCAUACUGAGUGCUAAAGAGGCCGGCAACCCAGAAACACCAACAUGCCCAGAAAAAAUAAGCUCCAAUAAAAGCCUGCUCUUUCUAACCAAAGGACAAGAAGAGGGGCAGCCUACCAAGACAUAAACUUCUAGACAAUAACCACUCCAUUCGAGCUAAACACCAAAUUUAAAACUGUGCCCCUACCCACACACCGAGCAACGGCCAAGAGGGGAGUCUAGACUUCCUCCCUCAUGAGGCUGUAACAAGACACCCCAAUACCGAGGUGGGUACCCCUAAAACCGAGGAGUCAGCAGAGCUAUGCUCCUUCUGGAGGCAGUAGGGAGAAAUCUGUUUUCUUGUCUUUUCCAGCUUCUAGAGGCCACCUGAUUCUUUGGUUCACGGCACCUACCUCUGUCUUCAGCCAGAAAUGUCUGGCCAAGCCCCUCUAAUAUGGUCAUCCCUCUGGUUCUCUCCCUGCUGCCUCCAUCUCUCACAUAUAAGGACCUCAGUGAUCAUAUUGGGCCCACUUGGAUAAUCCAGAAUCAUCUCUACAUUCUCUCUCAGCCAGCACACUCAGCUGCCACGCACUCCAGGGCCAACUAGGUGUGUGGAGAAUGCCCCGCCUGGGCAGGCCACAC
rnacentral:lncRNA from 1 species